rnacentral:rRNA from 1 species
UACGUAGGGACCCAGCGUUGUCCGGAUUUACUGGGCGUAAAGAGCGCGCAGGCGGUCGUUCAAGUCGAGUGUGAAAGCCCCCGGCUCGACUGGGGAGGGUCAUUCGAUACUGAUCGACUCGAAGGCAGGAGAGGGAAGCGGAAUUCCCGGUGUAGUGGUGAAAUGCGUAGAUAUCGGGAGGAACACCAGUGGCGAAGGCGGCUUCCUGGCCUGUUCUUGACGCUGAGGCGCGAAAGCUAGGGGAGCAAACGGG